rnacentral:lncRNA from 1 species
AUGGCCUGCACAGUCAGUGUGUCAGGGCUGUGUGCUCACACAGUCCAUCCCAUCCCAGGUCACUUCAGUCUCCUCCCGCUCGGCCAGACACCGAACCCAGGGACUGCCAGCAGAGAGGCUUCUCCCGUGGCAUGCCUUAUGCUCCAAGACCUGUACCCAUGGACGUGCAUCCAAACACCUUUCCUGUGCCAGCUUACCCAGUUAACCAGCACCCUCAGCAGGCUUUCCAGCAGCCCUACUACUCCCCAGCACAGUACCCAGUGCAGCAGCCACAGAGGGUGCCCAGCAGGUCAGUGGGGCUCCUGCAGGUGCCCAUGGCACUGGUGGGGUGAUUCCUUGUUCUGGCCAUCACUCCUGGGAGCCCAAGGGUGUUCCAUCACGUGUUGUGUGCAAGUGGGGCUGACUUCUCACUGGGAGAAAUUUCUCCUUCAGCUCACCCUGACAGGCAGAGCGUUCAUCCUGCUCUGUCAUGGCUGGGUGGUGAUGAACGAGGCUCAGGGCACUGCUCUGGCACUGCCCCCUGGCACUGACCCCUGUGGGGCUGACCCCCCUGGCACUGCCCCCUGUGACUGACCCCUGUGGGGCUGUGGGUGGUGACCCCUGUGACUGACCGGGGGGGGGGGGGGGGGGGGGGGGGGGGGGGGGGGGGGGGGGGGGGGGGGGGGGGGGGGGGGGGGGGGGGGGGGGGGGGGGGGGGGGGGGGG